rnacentral:rRNA from 1 species
AAGGGUGAUGGCGUGCCUUUUGUAGAAUGAACCGGCGAGUUACUGUAUGGAGCGAGGUUAAGCAGGAUAUGCGGAGCCGAAGCGAAAGCGAGUCUUAAGAGGGCGCGAGUUGCAUGCAGUAGACCCGAAACCGGGUGAUCUAGCCAUGACCAGGUUGAAGUUGGGGUAAAACCCGAUGGAGGACCGAACCGACCCCCGUUGAAACGUUGGCGGAUGAGUUGUGGCUAGGGGUGAAAUUCCAAUCGAACCCGGAGAUAGCUGGUUCUCCCCGAAAUAGCUUUAGGGCUAGCGUCGAGAGAAGAGUUGCGUGAAGGUAGAGCACUGAAUAUGUGAUGGCCCCAUCUCGGGGUACUGAGCAUAAUCAAACUGCGAAUGUCACGCCAACAUGCUCGGCAGUCAGACAGCGGGUGAUAAGGUCCGUUGUCAAGAGGGAAACAGCCCAGACCAUCAGCUAAGGUCCCAAAAUGUAUGCUAAGUGGAAAAGGAUGUGGAGAUGUACAGACAACUAGGAGGUUGGCUCAGAAGCAGCCAUCCUUUAAAGAGUGCGUAACAGCUCACUAGUCGAAUGACUCUGCGCCGAUAAUUUACCGGGGCUAAGCAUACUACCGAAGCUAUGGAUCCCAAGGGAUGGUAGGGGAGCGUUCCAUGAACGGAGAAGUACGACCGAAAGGACGUGUGGAGAUCAUGGAAGAGAGAAUGCCGGUGUGAGUAGCGGAACGUGGGUGAGAAUCCCACGCACCGAAAACCCAAGGUUUCCAGAGGAAGGUUCGUCCGCUCUGGGUAAGUCGGGACCUAAGGCGAGGCCGAAAGGCGUAGUCGAUGGACAACAGGUAGAGAUUCCUGUACCCGUAUAUAUGUGAAGGAAUGACGGAGAGAGGAAGCUGCAGCCAGCGGCUGGAAGAGCUGGUGCAAGCGAGAUAUCGGGAUGGCAGGCAAAUCCACCAUCCGAAACGAGAAGGCGUGAAGCGUACGGAAAGCUACGGCGAGUACGGAAGGCAGUGGAGGAACUUCCAAGAAAAGUUUCUAACGUUAAGUAUAUAUGGCCCGUACCGAAAAUGGACACACAUGGGUGAGGAGAGAAUCCUAAGGUGAGCGAGAGAACUAUAGCUAAGGAACUCUGCAAAAUGACUCCGUAACUUAGGGAGAAGGAGUGCUCAUAGAGAUAUGAGCCGCAGUGAAACGGCCCAAGCGACUGUUUACCAAAAACACAGCUCUCUGCUAAGCCGCAAGGCGAAGUAUAGGGGGUGACGCCUGCCCGGUGCUGGAAGGUUAAGGGGAGGGGUUAACGCAAGUGAAGCCCUGAACUGAAGCCCCAGUAAACGGCGGCCGUAACUAUAACGGUCCUAAGGUAGCGAAAUUCCUUGUCAGGUAAGUUCUGACCCGCACGAAAGGCGUAACGAUUUGGGCGCUGUCUCAGCUGUAGACUCGGUGAAGUCUUAGUACCUGUGAAGAUGCAGGUUACCCGCGACUAGACGGAAAGACCCCAUGGAGCUUCACUGCAGGUUGAUAUUGGGAUUUGAUGCAGCAUGUACAGGAUAGGUAGGAGGCAAAGAGAUGGAUACGCCAGUAUUCAAGGAGCCGCUGUUGGGAUACUACCCCUGUUGUAUUGGAUUUCUAACCGGACGACGUAGAGCCGUUGACGGGACAGUGUCAGUCGGGCAGUUUGACUGGGGCGGUCGCCUCCCAAAGAGUAACGGAGGCGCCCAAAGAUACCCUCAGCUUGGAUGGAAACCAAGCGCAGAGUGCAAAGGCAAAAGGGUGUUUGACUGCGAGACCCACAAGUCGAGCAGGGACGAAAGUCGGGCUUAGUGAUCCGGCGGUGCUGAAUGGAAAGGCCGUCGCUCAACGGAUAAAAGCUACCCUGGGGAUAACAGGCUGAUCUCCCCCAAGAGUUCACAUCGACGGGGAGGUUUGGCACCUCGAUGUCGGCUCAUCGCAUCCUGGAGCUGAAGUCGGUUCCAAGGGUUGGGCUGUUCGCCCAUUAAAGCGGUACGCGAGCUGGGUUCAGAACGUCGUGAGACAGUUCGGUCCCUAUCUGUCGUGGGCGCAGGAAAUUUGAGAAGAGCUGUCCUCAGUACGAGAGGACCGGGAUGGACGCAUCAAUGGUGGACCAGUUGUCACGCCAGUGGCAUAGCUGGGUAGCUAAAUGCGGAAGGGAUAAACGCUGAAGGCAUCUAAGUGUGAAACCCACUUCAAGAUGA